rnacentral:rRNA from 1 species
AUGGAGAUGAAACCCAAAAGAUUUUCGUUGGGGCGUAACCCUCUCAGCGACGCGCCACAUCGGAACCCGGGUGUGGUGGAAAAUGGGCAAGGGCCGGGCCGUCACCCCCCAAGUGGCGCGCCGUAUCUUGAUCCGGAUACGGUGGCAAGUGAGCGAGGAUCGGGUCGUCGCAUCCUUAGUGGCGCGCUACAUCGGCGCCCGGAUGUAGUGGAAAAUGAGCAAAGGUCUUCGCAUUUGACUCGACGAGUGCGAAGGGUAAGGAAGCUAGUCGAGCCUAGGAGGAUUCGCUUAGGUAGCUGGAACGUAGGGUCUCUGACAGAGAAGCUUCGGGAGCUAGUUGAUGCAGCAGUGAGGAAAGGUGUUGAUAUCCUUCGCGUCCAAGAAACCAAAUGGAGAGGACAGAAGGUGAAGGAGGUGGAGGAUACCGGCUUCAAGCUGUGGUACACGGGGACGGCUGCAAACAGAAAUGGCGUAGGCAUCUUGAUCAACAAGAGCCUCAAGUAUGGAGUGGUAGACGUCAGGAGACGUGGGGACCGGAUUAUCUUGGUCAAGCUGGUAGCUGAGGACUUGGUUCUCAAUGUUAUCAGCGCAUAUGCCCCGCAAGUAGGCCACAAUGAGAACACCAAGAGGGAGUUCUGGGAAGGCUUGGAAGACAUGGUUAGGAGUGUACCGAUUGGUGAGAAGCUCUUCAUAGGAGGAGACCUCAAUGGCCACGUGGGUACAUCUAACACAGGUUUUGAAGGGGCGCAUGGGGGC